AUACUACUCCCUCCGUUCGGAAAUACUUGUUAUCAAAAUGAAUAAAAGGGAAUGUAUCUAGAUGUAUUUUAGUUCUAGAUACAUCUUUUUUUAUCCAUUUUAAUGACAAGUAUUUUCGGACAGAGGAAGUACUAC
rnacentral:pre_miRNA from 1 species